rnacentral:lncRNA from 1 species
CAAUAACAAUUUUUAAAGCUACAAGUGAAGUGCUCUUUGGGGAAAAAAUAUUUUAUAGUUUUCAUUUAGCUACAUGUCCAUCUGCUUUCUGAUAGAAAUUCAGUGUGAGAAAGGAAUUUUGAGAUAACUUGAUACCUUCCCCCUUGACUGAGAGAAGGGCUCAGGCCCGCAGAGGUUCAGUUACGCACAGUUGAGAAAUAUGACAGUCAAGCUAAAAAUAACCCACCACCAGGGCAGUUUAUUGCUUCUUUGGACUCAUUUUCAUUUCAGUUUUAUACUCAUAAACUAGGAGGAGGAUUCUUUAACAUUAAACAGUAGUUUGACUUCAGAGAAGUGUUCGAUUUAGCACUUAAAUAUUGUCUCUCGUUGGGCUGGCCAGCAAUCCUUCUGCUGAGAGGAUGCUGCAGCCAGAGCCCAGCACUAUGUGGCCAGGGUACAUCUGCAGGAUCCUCUUUUCUUUUUUGGGCCGCACCUGCGGCAUAUGGAGGUUCCCAGAUUAGGGGUCAAAUCCAAGCUACAUCUGCUGGCCUACACCACAGCCACAGCAACACCAGAUCCUUAACCCACUGAGCAAGGCCAGGGAUCGAACCAGCAACCUCAUGUUUACUAGUCAGAUUUGUUUCCACUGCACCACAAUAGAAACUCCUGUCUGCAGGAUCUUGACAGCUGUUCUCACAGCUUAGCCAUGACUCAAAAUCAAGGUGAGGCAGAAAAGCCCAAAUGUCAUAAUAUAUAUUUCCAUCUUUACACAGGACUAAACGCCGUUUUCUAAUUUCCAAAAAAAUCACAGACUUUUAAAGCUUAGGUUUAAAAGCUGGGGGUCUAAUUGGAGCUGUAGCCACCGGCCUACGCCAGAUCCAAGCCGUGUCUGCAACCUACACCACAGCUCAUGGCAAUGCCGGAUUCUUAACCCAUUGCGCGAGGUCAGGGAUCAAACCCGAAACCUCAUGGUUCCUGGUUGGAUUUGUUUUCGCUGCGCCACGAUGGGAACUCUGGAAGUUCUAUUUCAAUUACAACUUUUAGGUCACCAGGGUAACUUCUAGUACCCUUGAUCUGCCAGACUGUAAGCUCCUUGAGGGCAAGAAUGCGUUCUUCUUUUUCUUUGUUUUCCCAAUGCCGACCAGAGCCCCUGGCACAGAGCCAACACUCAGCAAAUUAUUUUAAAAUGUGAUGGCAAGAACAGAUGGGGAGGGUCUCUAGGGACUAGGAGUGGCUAUAACCAAUGUUCUAGGAGACAGCAGCUUUGUGCUGACUCCCAAAAAUCUCAGAUAGAUGGAGACCUUUGUGGUUACUUAUACAAUAAAGUUAUUACUCUGGAAAGUAAAGUUAUGACCUGAGUUAACACUGGUUAUUUCCUUUAAGAAAGGAACAAUAAAAAUAAUAUGUAAUUUUGAAGUUCCCAAAGCCUCCCCAUCCCCCUCACCCACCCCCAGCUUGACAUCUGAGGGAGAAAGCAGUCUUUACACAGGGACUUGGGUUUGUAAACAUAAAGGAAAACAUUGCCUGAAUGGGAAAUACUGAGUGCAAUACAAAUUUACUUUCUGCUCAGCUAAGGAAAAGAGGGUGAGGGGAAGCGAAACUAUGAGACUGAAGGUAAAAACUCACAAAAACCCUUCCCAGCUCCUUUUCUAGCAAGAGGUCAAACACUGAGGCGACACAGGCUUUCAGAUUUCUUAUGAGAAACUAUAGUAAGAAAAAUACAGUGACUCAUCUUGUAAUAAUGCCCUUUCCUCCCAAAGUACACAUCAUGAUUCCCACAUCCCUGGCACGUGGGCACUCGGUGCAGGGCUAUUGCAACACUGGGCAUCUCCCUGCUCGGAGCCCCUCCAUGCAAGGGGGGUGAUGGACCUCCCUGGUGCUGGGGAAGUUGGGGGGGCUGCGUGGCU